UUCAUCCAUCACAAACACCACGCAACUACAACGCGUUCUACGACAUUGAUGAUACCCUUUUUUGGCAUAGUUUCUGCUUGUAUUGCGAAAUUGGGUUUUCUACUAUCCACAAAAUAAUCCUACUUUGAUACUUCCAUUGCCGCAUUGCAGGUUUAACUGUCGCGGGGUGGUUAAUAUCCGUAUACAAAACACCAUUGCAUACACUUAUUAUAUGAGAUCAUCAUAUAAUUAUAUUCAUAUUGCUUUCUCUUCGCAGGCAUGGCUUCACUGCCAUUCCCAUCUUCUUCUCCCCCAACCCUAACAAGAUGGUACAUUGACACCAGGCCUCUAACGGCCACAACCCAAUCACUUCCCCUCCUCUCUACCCUCCAAGAAUCCGAUCAAACAACCAUAAAAGCCUUCUACAACCUUUCAGACCGCCACAUGUCUCUCGCCUCCUAUCUAUUGAAAUACCUCUUCAUUCACCGCACAUGUCGAGUCCCCUGGAACCAAAUCAUCAUCAGCCGUACUCCGGCCCCGCAUAAAAGACCCUGCUAUAUCCCCCCCCACCCCCCGCAGCCAUCUCCACCUGCGGAUGGUAAUCAAAACCAGAAUCCCCUGAUUCCAGUCCCAAAUAUCGAAUUCAACGUCAGCCACCAAGCUUCCCUCAUCUCAUUGGCGGGAUGCAUUAGCCCUUCACCACGAAGCUUGGAUGAGACGCCCUCCCCUCAACCCCUCUACACCCCGAGCGCAAAUAACAACCACAAUGAUAAUAAUAACCACGUUCCCAGCCCCCCUCAAAUAGGCAUAGACAUAACCUGCACCGACGACCCAUCCCGCCGCCACCGCGCCCCGCCACGGACAGAAGCCGAACUGCACGACUUCAUCGACAUCUUCGCCGAAGUUUUCUCCGCAAACGAACUAGCUGCCAUGAAGGCAUAUCCGAGGAGCAGCAGCGGCGGCGGCACCGCGAACUUGCAGGAAUCCAUAACGCACCGCAUCCGCCUCUUCUACACCUACUGGGCCCUGAAGGAGGCGUAUAUUAAAAUGACGGGCGAGGCGCUGCUGGCACCCUGGCUGCGUGAUCUGGAGUUUGCAAAUGUUGUUGUUCCGGCGCCGCCGCUCUCACAUCUAUCUCCAUAUCCGUCUACGUCUACGUCUUCGUCCUCGCUGUGGGGGGUGCCGGAGACGGGGGUUAGGGCUAUGCUAUAUGGGCGUGAAGUGCCCGAGGUGCG
rnacentral:sRNA from 2 species